rnacentral:rRNA from 1 species
UACAGAGGUGGCAAGCGUUGUUCGGAAUUACUGGGCGUAAAGGGCGCGUAGGCGGCCUUCUAAGUCAGACGUGAAAUCCCCCGGCUUAACCUGGGAACUGCGUCUGAUACUGGGAGGCUUGAGUAUGGGAGAGGGAUGUAGAAUUCCAGGUGUAGCGGUGAAAUGCGUAGAUAUCUGGAGGAAUACCGGUGGCGAAGGCGGCAUCCUGGACCAUAACUGACGCUGAGGCGCGAAAAGCUAGGGGAGCAAACGGGG